CGUGGGUAACCUGCCCAAGAGACUGGGAUAACACCUGGAAACAGAUGCUAAUACCGGAUAACAACACUAGACGCAUGUCUAGAGUUUAAAAGAUGGUUCCGCUAUCACUCUUGGAUGGACCUGCGGUGCAUUAGCUAGUUGGUAAGGUAACGGCUUACCAAGGCAAUGAUGCAUAGCCGAGUUGAGAGACUGAUCGGCCACAUUGGGACUGAGACACGGCCCAAACUCCUACGGGAGGCAGCAG
rnacentral:rRNA from 1 species